UAUUUGACGUCAUGUGGACCCCACAUCACUUUGUUAUUCACGCUGGAGACAAAGCUGACGACUGUUUAGGUUUUUCGGGAUAUGUUUGUGGUGGGUGCGCGUCUUAUGAGUGAUUACAAGGGAAGAAUGGUUUCCUGAAGAUAGUUCAAGACGUGAGCGGCCUGCUCAGAGUCGGCGGACGACUUCGGCACGCCCAGCGCAACUAUGAGACGAAGCAUAAAGUGAUGUUAUCUGCCCGUGGAGUUAUCAUCCGGCUGAUCGUCACCGACCCACACAGGAAGCUCGCCCACGCCAGGACGGAGCACGUCCUGACUCACCUGAGCUAACAAUACUGGAUCAGGUCUCUCUGCGGCAGAGAGACCGUGAAACGAUUCACACGCGCUUGCACACCCUGUCGAAAAAGGUCAGCACAGCCGCUGCCACCACGAAUAGGUGACCUGCCAGCCUUCCGCAUGAGCGGGCCGGCGCCAGUGUUCGCGCGAGUGGGCGUGGACUUCUUUUGACCGAUGACCGUCAGGAAACGCCGAAAACGAGAGAAACGGUACGGGUGGGUGUCACUUCACAUGCCUGUUCACCCGUGCGGUCCACAUCGAGCUCGCCCACUCAUUGGACACUGACUUAUUCAUCAUGGCCAUGAGACACAUGAUGGCCAGACGAGGCAAGGUCAGACUCGUGUGCUCUGGCAAGGUACAAUUCUGCGCGCCGACGAGCGUGAGCUGCGACAGGCGCUCCAGCACUGGCACCAGUCCAAGAUCGCCGACACUCUCUCACAAGAAGGGUUUGAUCGACUCUUCAAACCACCGGCCGCGCGGCACUUCGGCGGCGUGUUCGAGCACGCGGUCAGCCAAACGCGCCCUGGCAGCUAUGCUUGGUGACAGGGUCGUUGACGACGAGACGCUGCAGACGGUGGUGACUGAUGUCGAAGCGCUCCUGAACGGACGUCCGCUGACGCACGUCAGCACCGAUCCUGACGUCUACCAACCUCUGACACCGAACUACUUCCUCAUCGGACGAGCCUCCCCUCAGCUGUCGCCCGGUGUGGUCAGCGACAGUGACAUGUGCAGCCGACGGCGCUUGAAGCACACGCAGGUGCUGCUGGUUCAUUUCCGGCAACGCUGGCGGCGGGAAUAUCUGCCCACGCUGACCGUGCGCUCCAAGUGGUUCACGGACAAGACCGAGGUCAAGGUCGGAGAGCUAGUACUGCUGUCCUAAGAAAACGUAGGCCGCGUGGACAUUGGCUGGUGGGACGAGUGGAGCGUGUGAUACCCGGCGCAGACGGCUGUAUUAUUCGCGUCGUGGACGUGGCGACUGCCACCGGUCAAUGUAGGCGGCCUGUCACCCGCCUCUGCCGACUGGAGUGCGACGGUAAUGGCUGUUGGAGCCAGGCUGAAGUGUCUUGUGCGGUGUUAGAUUUGUUUAUGGUAGUGCUUCCAAGCUAGCGGUAGUCUCUGUUCGCGUACGUUCACUUCGGUAAUUAAUGUGAGUUCUGUGUUGUACGCUUUGCGAUGGUUGUUGAUGUGCCGACCAUGUGACAGCACCUUCACUGCCGCCAGUGCCUCUCAAUCGUUUGUACUUAACGAUAUGUGCCAGUGUGUGUGUCAACGUCCAGCUGCUAAGACCGCUAAGACUGCGCCGUCACUGGUUUUAUGAAUGGUCGCGUGAUUGUUGUCGGGAAUGAUCUCCGCCUCGGUGAGACACUAAUGUGUAUUGUACGCGAGUGUGUGUUUGUAAAGUGUGCGCGGAUGCGAAUAGUUUGAGCGUGUCAGUGUAGUUUGAAUGAUUGUUCGUUUGUGGUUUGAUUUUCCGCGGAUGAUUGCGAAAAAACCGGGCCGGCUAUGCAAGCGAGCAAAGACGGCCGGCGCUUGGCACGGUCGGUCCGUCGCACCAGCGCACAUGUGUGUGUCAUGUUACCCCUGUCCUGGUUCUUAUAUAUAGACAAUAUAGACUUUUAUGCACAAAUUUUUACAUUAUAUAGGUAUAGACUCUUUAUAGACUUUUACGACAGAGGGCCCACGUGUUGUGUACCGUGAGGGCUGAGACGGGACGGGGCCGGACAGUCUUCGACGCGACUCC
rnacentral:lncRNA from 1 species